GAAUGGGUAGAAACAGGGGCAUCAUUGUUGUCACCCCCACCCAUGGUAUUUGAUUUCCCCUGACGUUUGAAAAAAACCAAAGUUACAUAGUGUCAGCCAAUGAGAGGUGAAUCACUGCAGGAGCAAACUGGGCCUGUAUAUAGUGAAUUGCCCACAGUGCUUUGGGCUCCUGUGUCAGUGUUAAAAGGUGUGCCCCUUUCUUUUGUCGAAAUUAAGUGCAGAGAUGGCACGUCUGGUUCUCCCCAUCUUUUUGGUUCUCUCUCUCACCUUGCUCCACCAGGGAUAUAGCCGUCCAUCUCGUACCAGGAAAGCAGUGCCAGCAUCACAGAGAGCGGCAGAUGAGGAUGAUGUAAAGUCGCAGCUGGAGAAGCUGUGACAGGAGGUGAACUCCCUGAAGGAGAUCUCAGCUCUGCAGACAGGAAGUGUUACCUGACCAGAGGAACCAAGCACUACCAUGAGGCCAACGAACACUGCAUCACAUGGGGUGGAACACUUUCCACUCCACGUGACCUCAAUGAAAACAAUGUCCUGAGGGACUAUGCCAAGAGGUGUGCGCCAGGUACCAAGGAGUUUGGAUUGGUGUGACAGACAUUGUGAAGGAGGGCCAGUAUGUAGACAUCAACAGCAUGCCCAUCAGCUACUUCAACUGGGACAAGACCAACAAGCAGCUCACAGGGACAAAGAGGGAGAGCUGUGUCAUGCUCUCACUGGCUGCACAGGGAAAGUGGCAUGAUGAGGUCUGCCUUGGCAAGAAAAAGUAAAUUUGUGAAUACCCCAUUCCCUAACUUGUGUACCACCAUGGAGACCAGAUGGUUGUUGACAACCUGAUGAUCAUUUA